rnacentral:rRNA from 1 species
UACAGAGGGUGCGAGCGUUGUUCGGAAUUACUGGGCGUAAAGCGUGCGCAGGCGGUUUUGUAAGCCAGAUGUGAAAUCCCCGGGCUUAACCUGGGAAUGGCAUUUGGGACUGCAAGGCUCGAGUGCGGCAGAGGAGACUGGAAUUCCUGGUGUAGCAGUGAAAUGCGUAGAUAUCAGGAGGAACACCGAUGGCGAAGGCAGGUCUCUGGGCUGACACUGACGCUCAUGCACGAAAGCGUGGGGAGCAAACAGG